AAAGACAGUCGGGAAGUGUAACAUCACACAUCGAUUCGGCGGCCCGCGUUGUCAAGCCCGAAAAAACUUUCCUUUUCCGCGUUCCUCCUUGGAGCCCGGCCGUGCGGCGUCACGACUGCCGAGCGAGUCGCGCCGAAUUCGAGCCGCGUCUGUCUGUAAACGUGCGCGCGUUACGCGUGUGGUGCUGUGAUUGUAGUGACGGCCACGGCGUACCACCGUUGGAGGCCGAUGGAAACGUGACUGUCUUCUCGGUUAUGCGGUGGUUCCUGUCACGAGCAGCGGCAGUGGCAGUGGCAGCAGUGGCAGUGGCCCUUUUCUCGCACAACCCCCGUCUCGCGGACGUCGCCGUGUCGUCGACGAGGGAGGCAAGCUCGGCGUGCUGAUAACGCGACCGCGGCGGAGGUCACUGCAUUGCGGUUAACGGCGCUGCGGCUACGUCGGCGCGAUCCGACAGCAACGACGACAACAACGACGACGACGACGACGUCGCAGCAGCAGCCGCCGCCGCCGCCGACGUGGAAGAAGACGGCAUGAUCGCGCCGUGGGGCUAGUGGGCUUGAAAAUCGCCGCUCGCCCGGUGUCACCCUCCGUCGUUCGUUGUUCUGUGUGGUGGCUCUCUCUCGCUCGCUCGCUGUGCCCCUCCACACAGAGAUCCACUGCCCCCGUCUUUCGGGCCGUUCACCACUCAUAUACUGCCCCGGCCACACAUCCACGUGCGUGCGUAUCGCGCGUACCGCCGCGUAAUCACGCGUACACAGGCGCGGGCUCCGGGACGAAGAAAGAGAGAGAGGGAGAGGGAGAGAGAGAGAGAGAGAGAGAGAGAGAGAGAGAGAGAGAGAGAGAG